GAUGAACGCUGGCGGCGUGCCUAAUACAUGCAAGUCGAGCGAACAGACGAGGAGCUUGCUCCUCUGACGUUAGCGGCGGACGGGUGAGUAACACGUGGAUAACCUACCUAUAAGACUGGGAUAACUUCGGGAAACCGGAGCUAAUACCGGAUAAUAUAUUGAACCGCAUGGUUCAAUAGUGAAAGACGGUUUUGCUGUCACUUAUAGAUGGAUCCGCGCCGCAUUAGCUAGUUGGUAAGGUAACGGCUUACCAAGGCAACGAUGCGUAGCCGACCUGAGAGGGUGAUCGGCCACACUGGAAAUGGGACACGGUCCAGACUCCUACGGGAGGCAGCAGUAGGGAAUCUUCCGCAAUGGGCGAAAGCCUGACGGAGCAACGCCGCGUGAGUGAUGAAGGUCUUCGGAUCGUAAAACUCUGUUAUUAGGGAAGAACAAAUGUGUAAGUAACUAUGCACGUCUUGACGGUACCUAAUCAGAAAGCCACGGCUAACUACGUG
rnacentral:rRNA from 1 species